GACGAACGCUGGCGGCGUGCUUAACACAUGCAAGUCGUACGGUAAGGCCCUUUCGGGGGUACACGAGUGGCGAACGGGUGAGUAACACGUGAGUAACCUGCCCACAACUUUGGGAUAACGCUAGGAAACUGGUGCUAAUACUGGAUAUGUGCUCCUGCUGCAUGGUGGGGGUUGGAAAGCUCCGGCGGUUGUGGAUGGACUCGCGGCCUAUCAGCUUGUUGGUGGGGUAGUGGCCUACCAAGGCGGCGACGGGUAGCCGGCCUGAGAGGGUGACCGGCCACAUUGGGACUGAGAUACGGCCCAGACUCCUACGGGAGGCAGCAGUGGGGAAUCUUGCACAAUGGGCGCAAGCCUGAUGCAGCACCGCCGCGUGCGGGAUGCCGGCCUUCGGGUUGUAAACCGCUUUCAGCAGGGACGAAGCUUUUUGUGACGGUACCUGCAGAAGAAGCACCGGCUAACUACGUG
rnacentral:rRNA from 1 species